rnacentral:rRNA from 1 species
AGAGAGAGACAUGGCGCGCAUAUCAAUAAGCGGAGGAAAAGAAACUAACUAGGAUUCCCUCAGUAACGGCGAGUGAAGCGGGAAGAGCUCAAAUUUGAAAUCUUCAAGGUUUUACCUUGACGAAUUGUAGUUUAAAGAAGUGUUUUCUGCUGAAGUUUUGGUAAAAGUUCUUUGGAAUAGGACAUCAUAGAGGGUGAGAAUCCCGUAUUUGACCAUUAUUUUCAGCUUUGUGAUACACUUUCAAAGAGUCGGAUCGUUUGGGAAUGCAGUCCAAAAUGGGUGGUAAAUUUCAUCUAAAGCUAAAUAUUGGCGAGAGACCGAUAGCGAACAAGUACCGUGAGGGAAAGAUGAAAAGAACUUUGAAAAGAGAGUUAAACAGUACGUGAAAUUGUCACAAGGGAAGCGUUUGACACCAGUGUUGUUUUCUCGAAAAUCAAUUAAAAAUGGCUCGAUUUUGUAUUGCUUGAGACCUUAAAAGCUCACUGUACAUUUUUCGUGUCUUUUUUAAUGCACUUUUCGUUUAACAAGUCAACAUCAGUUUCUUUUGUUGUAAAAGGGUCAUUGGAAGGUGGCUUUCUUUUCGGAGAAAGUGUUUAUAGCCUUUGGCCUCUGCAAUCGAAGAGACUGAGGUCUGCAGCGUAGACUCUUCGGGGUUAGAUACAUUUGUGCUAAGUUAUAGCUUUUUAUAGACAACUUGUUGACUAUAAUUAGUCUUGUAGCUUACUCGCUUAUGCUAUUUUACCUACGCUUAGGAUGUUGAGUCGUAGAGCACGCAG